rnacentral:tRNA from 1 species
GCCUUCUUAGCUCAGUCGGUAGAUCAUCAGACUUCUAACAUGAGGGUCGUGGGUUCGAGCCCCACAAAAGGUG